rnacentral:rRNA from 1 species
AUACGGAGGGUGCAAGCGUUAUUCGGAAUCACUGGGCGUAAAGCGCGCGCAGGCGGCUAUUUAAGUUGGAUGUGAAAGCCUAUGGCUCAACCAUAGAACUGCAUCCAAAACUAUUUAGCUAGAGUGUGGGAGAGGAAGAUGGAAUUAGUUGUGUAGGGGAAAAAUCCGUAGAGAUAACUAGGAAUACCAAAAGCGAAGGCAAUCUUCUGGAACACUACUGACGCUGAGGCGCGAAAGCGUGGGGAGCAAACAGGAUUAGAAACCCUAGUAGUCC